rnacentral:rRNA from 1 species
GCAUUAUACAGCGAAACUGCGAAUGGCUCAUUAUAUAAGUUAUCGUUUAUUUGAUAGUACCUUACUACUUGGAUAACCGUGGUAAUUCUAGAGCUAAUACAUGCUAAAAAUCCCGACUUCGGAAGGGAUGUAUUUAUUAGAUUAAAAACCAAUGCCCUCUGGGCUCCUUGGUGAUUCAUAAUAACUUUUCGAAUCGCAUGGCCUUGCGCCGGCGAUGGUUCAUUCAAAUUUCUUCCCUAUCAACUUUCGAUGUUUGGGUAUUGGCCAAACAUGGUCGCAACGGGUAACGGAGGGUUAGGGCUCGACCCCGGAGAAGGAGCCUGAGAAACGGCUACUACAUCCAAGGAAGGCAGCAGGCGCGCAAAUUACCCAAUCCCGAUUCGGGGAGGUAGUGACAAUAAAUACUGAUACAGGGCUCUUUUGGGUCUUGUAAUUGGAAUGAGUACAAUUUAAAUCCCUUAACGAGGAACAAUUGGAGGGCAAGUCUGGUGCCAGCAGCCGCGGUAAUUCCAGCUCCAAUAGCGUAUAUUAAAGUUGUUGUGGUUAAAAAGCUCGUAGUUGAACCUUGGGCCUGGCUGGCCGGUCCGCCUCACCGCGUGUACUGGUCCGGCCGGGCCUUUCCCUCUGUGGAACCUCAUGCCCUUCACUGGGUGUGGCGGGGAAACAGGACUUUUACUUUGAAAAAAUUAGAGUGCUCCAGGCAGGCCUAUGCUCGAAUACAUUAGCAUGGAAUAAUGAAAUAGGACGUGUGGUUCUAUUUUGUUGGUUUCUAGGACCGCCGUAAUGAUUAAUAGGGACAGUCGGGGGCAUCAGUAUUCAAUUGUCAGAGGUGAAAUUCUUGGAUUUAUUGAAGACUAACUACUGCGAAAGCAUUUGCCAAGGAUGUUUUCAUUAAUCAGAAACGAAAGUUA